rnacentral:rRNA from 1 species
CCUACGGGUGGCUGCAGUGAGGAAUAUUGGUCAAUGGCCGAGAGGCUGAACCCGCCAAGUCGCGUGAGGGAAGACGGCCCUCCGGGUUGUAAACCUCUUUUGUCGGGGCUCAAAACGAACCACGUUUGGUUCCUUGAGCGUACCCGAAGCAAAAGCAUCGGCUAACUCCGUGCCAUCAGCCGCAGUAAGACGGAGGAUGCGAGCUUUAUCCGGAUUUCUUGUUUUUAAAGGGUGCGCAGGCGGAAGAUCAAGUCAGCGGUAAAAUUUAGAGGCUCAACCUCUUCGAGCCGUUGAAACUGGUUUUCUUGAGUGAGUGAGAAGUAUGCGGAAUGCGUGGUGUAGCGGUGAAAUGCAUAGAUAUCACGCAGAACUCCGAUUGCGAAGGCAGCAUACCGGCGCUCAACUGACGCUCAUGCACGAAAGUGUGGGUAUCGAACAGGAUUAGAUACCCCUGUAGUC